AGAGUUUGAUCCUGGCUCAGGACGAACGCUGGCGGCGUGCUUCAUACAUGCAAGUCGAACGAGGUCCAGACGGUAGCAAUACUGGAGAAGACCUAGUGGCGAACGGGUGAGUAACACGUGAGGAACCUGCCCCGAAGACCGGGAUAACAGUGGGAAACCGCUGCUAAUACCGGAUGCCCUCACCGGGUCGCAUGGCCUGGUGAGGAAAUGGAUUCCGCUUCGGGAGGGCCUCGCGGCCUAUCAGCUUGUUGGUGGGGUAACGGCCCACCAAGGCGACGACGGGUAGCUGGUCUGAGAGGACGAUCAGCCACACUGGGACUGAGACACGGCCCAGACUCCUACGGGAGGCAGCAGUAGGGAAUCUUGCGCAAUGGGCGAAAGCCUGACGCAGCAACGCCGCGUGAGGGAUGAAUGCCUUCGGGUUGUAAACCUCAAUCAAGCAGGGACGAUAAUGACGGUACCUGCAGUGAAGCUCCGGCCAACUACGUGCCAGCAGCCGCGGUAAUACGUAGGGAGCAAGCGUUGUCCGGAAUCAUUGGGCGUAAAGAGCUCGUAGGCGGUUUGCUAAGUCGGAUGUGAAACCUCCAGGCUCAACCUGGAGCCGCCAUUCGAUACUGGCAUGACUAGAGUCCGGUAGGGGCCCACGGAACUCCUGGUGUAACGGUGAAAUGCGCAGAUAUCAAGAAGAACACCGAUGGCGAAGGCNGNNNNCUGGNNNNNNNCUGACNCUGAGNNGCGAAAGCGUGGGGAGCNAACAGGAUUAGAUACCCNGGUAGUCC
rnacentral:rRNA from 1 species